GGUGGAAGAAGACCAUCAAUGGACCAUAUGCAGGAUGCUCGUCUCUACCUAACCUCUGGGAAGAUCUGAGACUGGUACCUCCUAUGGCCCUAAUUAAGCUCUCCCCCCAGGUGAGGAGGUGUGUUUUACCUUGGAGAACAUGAAUCCACCCAUGAACCAGACUGGACACCCUCAUCACCAGAUCUUGGAAAAGACUCAAGGCCAACACAGCAAGUUCAAAUUCAAUCAGAGUGGUUGAGUACCCCAUAACAUUCUUGCCACU
ensembl:ribozyme RNaseP_nuc Nuclear RNase P